GCAAGUCGAACGAGAAGCUAUAGCUUGCUAUAGUAGAAAGUGGCGAAAGGGUGAGUAACAAGUGAGUAAUCUGCCUCUGACUCGGGGAUAGCCCAUGGAAACGUGGAUUAAUACCGGAUAUGAAUUAUUUAUCGCAUGGUAAGUAGUUUAAAGUUUUUUGGUCGGAGAUGAGCUCGCUUCCCAUUAGCUAGUUGGUGAGGUAACGGCUCACCAAGGCAACGACGGGUAGGGGUCCUGAGAGGGAGAUC
rnacentral:rRNA from 1 species